GGAGGCAGCAGUUAAGAAUCUUGCGCAAUGGACGAAAGUCUGACGCAGCGACGCCGCGUGAAGGAUGAAGGCUUUCGGGUUGUAAACUUCGGUAGACUGGGAAGAAAAAGUAAGUUCGUUGAGGGCUUACAUUGACGGUACCAGUCUGAAGCCCCGGCUAAUUACGUGCCAGCAGCCGCGGUAAUACGUAUGGGGCAAGCGUUGUUCGGAAUUAUUGGGCGUAAAGGGCUCGCAGGUGGUUUGUUAAGUUGGGGGUUUAAUCUCUGGGCUCAACCCAGAGUCAGCCUUCAAAACUGGCGAACUUGAGUACGAGAGGGGAUAGCGGAAUUCUCGGUGUAGCGGUGGAAUGCGUAGAUAUCGAGAGGAACACCAAUGGCGAAGGCAGCUAUCUGGAUCGUAACUGACACUCAUGAGCGAAAGUGCGGGGAGCAAACAGGAUUAGAUACCCUGGUAGUCCGCACCGUAAACGUUGUAUACUAGUUGUUGGUGGUUUCAACGCCAUCAGUGACGUCGCUAACGCAUUAAGUAUACCGCCUGGGGAGUAUGCUCGCAAGGGUGAAACUCAAAGAAAUUGACGGGGGCCCGCACAAGCGGUGGAGCAUGUGGUUUAAUUCGACGAUACGCGAAAAACCUUACCUGGGUUUGACAUGGAUUUGACUGGGGUAGAGAUACCCCUUCCCGCAAGGGCAGAUUCACAGGUGUUGCAUGGUCGUCGUCAGCUCGUGUUGUGAGAUGUUGGGUUAAGUCCCGCAACGAGCGCAACCCCUAUCUUCUGUUACCAUCAUUAAGUUGGGGACUCUGAAGAAACCGCCGGUGACAAACCGGAGGAAGGUGGGGAUGACGUCAGAUCAGCAUGGCCCUUAUAUCCAGGGCUACACACGUGCUACAAUGGCCGGUACAGAGGGACGCAAAGCCGCGAGGUGGAGCAAAUCCCACAAAGCCGGUCUCAGUUCAGAUUGCAGUCUGCAACUCGACUGCAUGAAGUCGGAAUCGCUAGUAAUCGCGGAUCAGCAUGCCGCGGUGAAUACGUUCCCGGGCCUUGUACACACCGCCCGUCACACCACCCGAGUUGGAGGUACCCGAAGAGGCUGUUGCCAACCGCAAGGAGGCAGGUCGCUAAGGUAAAUUCGGCGAGGGGGGUGAAGUCGUAACAAGGUAGCCGUACCGGAAGGUGCGGCUG
rnacentral:rRNA from 1 species